AUUGAACGCUGGCGGCAGGCCUAACACAUGCAAGUCGAGCGGAGCGGCGGACGGGUGAGUAAUGCCUAGGAAUCUGCCUGGUAGUGGGGGAUAACGUCCGGUACCGGGCGCUAAUACCGCAUACUCUCAGCUGAGCCUAGGUCGGAUUAGCUAGUGGGGGGGGUAAAGGCCUACCAGGGCGACGAUCCUUAACUGGGCUGAGCGGAUGAUGAGUCACACUGGAACUUAGACACGGUCCAGACUCCUACGGGAGGCAGCCGUGGGGAAGUUUGGACAAUGGGCGAAAGCCUUAUCCAGCCAUGCCGCGUGUGGGAAGAAGGGCUUCGGAUUGGAAAGCACUUUUAGUUGGGAGGCGUUACCAACAGAAUAAGCACCGGCUAACUUCGUGCCAGCAGCCGCGGUAAUAC
rnacentral:rRNA from 1 species